rnacentral:rRNA from 1 species
AACGAACGCUGGCGGCAUGCCUAACACAUGCAAGUCGAACGAGACCUUCGGGUCUAGUGGCGCACGGGUGCGUAACGCGUGGGAACCUGCCCUUAGGUUCGGAAUACUCCCCGAAAGGGGUGCUAAUACCGGAUAAUGUCUUCGGACCAAAGAUUUAUCGCCUUUGGAUGGGCCCGCGUUGGAUUAGCUAGUUGGUAGGGUAAAAGCCUACCAAGGCGACGAUCCAUAGCUGGUCUGAGAGGAUGAUCAGCCACACUGGGACUGAGACACGGCCCAGACUCCUACGGGAGGCAGCAGUGGGGAAUAUUGGACAAUGGGCGAAAGCCUGAUCCAGCAAUGCCGCGUGAGUGAUGAAGGCCUUAGGGUUGUAAAGCUCUUUUACCCGGGAUGAUAAUGACAGUACCGGGAGAAUAAGCUCCGACUAACUCCGUG